UACGAAGGGGGCUAGCGUUGUUCGGAAUUACUGGGCGUAAAGGGCUCGUAGGUGGCCAACUAAGUCAGACGUGAAAUCCCUCGGCUUAACCGGGGAACUGCGUCUGAUACUGGAUGGCUUGAGUUCGGGAGAGGGAUGCGGAAUUCCAGGUGUAGCGGUGAAAUGCGUAGAUAUCUGGAGGAACACCGGUGGCGAAGGCGGCAUCCUGGACCGAUACUGACGCUGAGGAGCGAAAGCCAGGGGAGCAAACGGG
rnacentral:rRNA from 1 species